UGAUCCUGGCUCAGGAUGAACGCUAGCGGCGCGCUUAAUGCAUGCAAGUCGAGCGAUGAGGCCUUCUUCGGAGGGCACAUCAGCGGCAGACGGGUGAGUAACACGUGGGUGACCUGCCCUUGAGACGGGGAUAACGGAUGGAAACAUGCGCUAAUACCCGAUAGGGUCCCAGGGUCAAAGCUGGGAUGAAAGCUUUGGUGCUCAAGGAGGGGCUCGCGGCCCAUCAGCUAGUUGGUGAGGUAACGGCUCACCAAGGCGAAGACGGGUAGGGGGUGUGAGAGCACGGCCCCCCACAAUGGGACUGAGACACGGCCCAUACUCCUACGGGAGGCAGCAGCAGGGAAUAUUGCACAAUGGACGGAAGUCUGAUGCAGCGACGCCGCGUGGAUGAUGAAGGCCUUCGGGUUGUAAAAUCCUUUACGGGGUGACGAGGAAGGACGGUAGCCCCGGAACAAGCGUCGGCUAACUACGUGCCAGCAGCCGCGGUAAGACGUAGGACGCAAGCGUUAUCCGGAUUUACUGGGCGUAAAGCGUCUGUAGGCGGAUGAGUAAGUUGGGCGUGAAAGCUCCGGGCUCAACCCGGAGAGGCCGUUCAAUACUGCUGAUCUAGAGGAGGCCAGAGGGGAGUGGAAUUCCUGGAGUAGCGGUAAAAUGCGCAGAUAUCAGGAAGAACACCAGUGGCGAAGGCGGCUCCCUAGGGCCCACCUGACGCUGAGAGACGACAGCUAGGGGAGCGAACAGGAUUAGAGACCCUGGUAGUCCUAGCCGUAAACGAUGGAUGCUAGGUGUAGGGGCGUAGAGGCUCUGUGCCGGAGCGAACGCGAU
rnacentral:rRNA from 1 species